rnacentral:rRNA from 1 species
CACGUAGGGGGCGAGCGUUGUCCGGAUUUAUUGGGCGUAAAGAGCUCAUAGGUGGCUCGGUAAGUCGGGUGUGAAAUUUCGAGGCUCAACCUCGAAACGCCACCUGAUACUGCCGUGGCUUGAGUCCGGUAGGGGAGCGUGGAAUUCCUGGUGUAGCGGUGAAAUGCGCAGAUAUCAGGAGGAACACCAGUGGCGAAGGCGGUGCUCUGGGCCGGAACUGACGCUGAGGAGCGAAAGCGUGGGGAGCAAACAGG